rnacentral:rRNA from 1 species
UGGGGAAUCUUGGACAAUGGGGGCAACCCUGAUCCAGCCAUGCCGCGUGAGUGAUGAAGGCCUUAGGGUCGUAAAGCUCUUUCGCCUGUGAAGAUAAUGACGGUAGCAGGUAAAGAAACCCCGGCUAACUCCGUGCCAGCAGCCGCGGUAAUACGGAGGGGGUUAGCGUUGUUCGGAAUUACUGGGCGUAAAGCGCACGUAGGCGGACCAGAAAGUUGGGGGUGAAAUCCCGGGGGCUCAACCCCGGAACUGCCUCCAAAACUAUUGGUCUAGAGUUCGAGAGAGGUGAGUGGAAUUCCAAGUGUAGAGGUGAAAUUCGUAGAUAUUUGGAGGAACACCAGUGGCGAAGGCGGCUCACUGGCUCGAUACUGACGCUGAGGUGCGAAAGUGUGGGGAGCAAACAGGAUUAGAUACCCUGGUAGUCCACACCGUAAAACGAUGAAUGCCAGUCGUCGGGUAGCAUGCUAUUCGGUGACACA